rnacentral:tRNA from 1 species
GGCUCUAUAGUGUAGCGGUCAACACGCCAGCCUGUCACGCUGGUAUCCCGGGUUCGAAUCCCGGUAGAGUCG